rnacentral:rRNA from 1 species
UCGACCUGAGUUUAGGCAGGGCUACCCGCUGAACUUAA